rnacentral:rRNA from 1 species
UACGAAGGGGGCUAGCGUUGCUCGGAAUUACUGGGCGUAAAGGGCGCGUAGGCGGACAGUUUAGUCAGAGGUGAAAGCCCAGGGCUCAACCUUGGAAUUGCCUUUGAUACUGGCUGUCUUGAGUUCGGGAGAGGUAAGUGGAAUGCCGAGUGUAGAGGUGAAAUUCGUAGAUAUUCGGCGGAACACCAGUGGCGAAGGCGGCUCUCUGGUACGUGACUGACGCUGAGACGCGAAAGCGUGGGGAGCGAACAGG